ACCUUCACCUUCACCGUCACAGCACCACCACACAAUUCACUACACUAUAGUUUUAAUGUUUCAACUAUCGUGAGAUUUCCAUUUUAAGUACAUAUAGUAUGUAACGGCCGUAUUUAGUCGAUGUAAGCUCGAUUAGUUUCGAGCCCAUCAAGGGUCCUUUUUCAUAGAGACCCAGCUCGCUACGUGUCGUGGUUGAGGAGGAUAGGUGAAAAAGGACCCCGGAUGAGUUGGUAACUAGUCAAGUUUCCAUCAACUAAAUUCGUGAGUGUAGCCGUUACAUUUAACUUGAAACACUAUAGUUAACACAGACUACACAUAUACAGACUCAUAGGGACUACAGAUCUACCGGUUAGCUAAACAUCGAUUAACGAUCGAAAUUAAUAAACAAUUCUAUCUGUUAUCUAUCGAUAGGUUACGAGUUCAUUUCUGCCCUCAAUGUGAGCAGCAAAUUCAUAAUUUGGAAUAUCCUACAUUAAUUCAAACUAGAUUUUAAAAAUAGUCUAGAACGAAUCAAAGCAAACGUUCUUAAUCAUUUAAUAAAAUCAAUAUUCUUUAGUACAUAAAACAUUAUCAUUCCACUCACGCUCCUUGUUUUUAGAUACUUUAGUUUACGCAAUGUACACGAAAACUCAGUGGAAAUCAUUACAUAUGAACAUUACUCUCCUCUUCUAAUAUUUGUUUUACAUCACUCGCAACACACACUACCUAUAUUCUCUAUUACGUCUCUGAUUUCAUUACUCUAUGUAUAAUGCGUAAAAAUUAGUUCUCACGCGCCAUUUUAACUUUGUGUCAAAUGUCAUGUCAAAAGUACGAUUUUAGUCCUUAUUUUAAAGGUGAACCGUACAUUUGACAUGACAGUUGCCCAUAGAGUUAAGAUGGCGCGUGAAAACUCAUUUUGUACGGACUAUUCAUUCUAUGAUAAAACUAUAUUUUAUGUUGUCAUACUUUCUGUUUUCAAGUACAGAAUAUAUUAUUAUGUUCGCUAAAUUGCUUUUAAACUAGUUACUCUUAAAUCAUAUCCAUGCAAGCGUUUUCUGUUACCAAUAAAUU